rnacentral:tRNA from 1 species
GGGCCCAUAGUCUAGGCACUUUUUCUUUCCUGCGCCAGGUCUGUGAAAAGAAAACCUGCGCUAAAAGAAAAUGUGGGACACUGGAUAGGAUGUAACCCUCCGAAGGUUAUGACCCGGGUUCGAAUCCCGGUGGGUCCG